CUGUGGUGAUAAAAUUCUCCAACACAAAAGAAAAAUACAUAGAAGCAGUACGGUAAUCAAAUACUGGCUGAAGUCUCCAAAAACUCAGUUUACCAGCAAAGAGAAAUCUAAAAAUGUUCAAACACCGGAUCCUGGAGGAAAAUCUGAAUGCUACAAAAAUUGAGAUUGAAUUGAGGUACAGUAACAUAAACCAGUAGGUAGCUCAAAAGAUUGCUACUUUAAACAGGAAGAGAUUAAAGUAUUCUGGAGCACCACAAUAAGGACCUUUCUUAAUAGAUAAAUGACAUGCAUAUGAGUUAUUUUAAUAAACAAACUUCUCACAUUA
rnacentral:lncRNA from 1 species